rnacentral:miRNA from 1 species
AUAUAUGUGUAUAUACACGUAUGUAUGUGUGUGUGUGUGUGUGUGUGUGUGUGUGUGUAUA